GGUCUGGGUUGGGUAUCCAGUGGGGGUGGGGUUGGGUAUCCCAUUGGGUUGGGUACCCCAUGGGGUCUGGGUUGGGUAUCCAAUGGGGUUGGGUGCCCCAUGGAGGUGGUGUUAGGUACCCUAUGGGGGUGGGGUUGGGUAUCCCAUUGGGUUGGGUACCCCAUAGGGUCAGGGUUGGGUACCCCGUGGUGCUGGGACAAUUAGGGUGGAAGGGCGGAAGGCGAUGGGUGUAAGAGCUGGAAAUGGGGUCACCUCCAAAGAGAGGAAUGGAAUUUCGGAGAACCCCCCGGGGAUGGGAAGGACUCACCCCCGGGAUGCAGUUGCCCAUGAUGUGUCCUCAGCGCCUCUGGGCUCAGCGACAGAUGCACGGCGCUGUCUGCACAGUGCUCAGCUCCACUCUGGCUCUGCUUUGCGGGGCGAAGGGCUGCGGGGCCCUGAUAAGGGCUGCCCCAACUCCCUGCCUCCCUUCCUCCCUCCCCACCUCAGCAAUUCCCUCCACCAGGACCGAAGGAAACGGGCGGCUGCUGCCAGUAAAGGCGCUGAGCGGCGGCGCUGGUAAUUUCUGGUGCAGGAAAUGAUCAUUCAUUGGCAGAACGACUGCAGUUCCUUUGGAAUUCUAUUUGGAAGCGUUGAUGAUGCGGGACAAAAUCCGUGCCAGCCCUUUUUCCAGGGACCCAAAUCCCUCCCGGACCUUCGGGACAUCUCCUGCGCUCCGAUCUGCGCCGCGGAGACAUGCGGUGAGAUGGAACCGUGCUCGAAAACACGUCGUGUUUCAUGGGAAAGAAUUGCGCCUAUCGAGAGUGGAUGGUGAAGACCUUUGGAGAAGCCCACGUGCUGUGCAUGCUCUGUGUGUGCAGUGAAGUGAACGGCAUCGUGUCGGCAGUGUGACCUCUGGUGACAAUGCGUGUCCCAUGGCAGAAGCUCGGGGCUCCUGUUGGGAGCACGGUCAGCGUCGUCCUCCCACUGGGACCAUGACCAAUAUCCUCCCGUUGGGACCCACGGCCAACAUCCUUCUCCCAUUGCGACCAUGACCAACAUCCUCCUCCCAUUGGGACCCAUGGCCAGUGUCCACCUUCCACUGGGACCACGACCAGUGUCCUCUUGUUGGGACCAUGACCAACAUCCUCCUCCUGUUGGAACCCAUGACCAACGGCCUCCUCCCAUUGGGACCCACAGCCAACAUCCUUCUCCCAUUGGGACCCACAGCCAACAUCCUUCUCCCAUUGGGACCAUGACCAACGUCCUUCCACUGGACCAUGACCAAUAUCCUCCCACUGGGACCCACGGCCAAUGUCCUCCUGUUGGGACUCAUGGCCAACGUCCUCCUCCAAGGAGAUGGAAGGAGAGGAACGGCAGUGAGGAACCCACAAGUUUUCCCCACUGGGGGGUGGUGAAGGCUUCGUGCAUCCCUCUCAAGGCACCCAAAGCUCUGCUGAUGGAGUGACGGAGCCAUGUGCCACGGAUGCAUCCCUUGUUCCUGCCAAGCCAUGGUGGCCCCACUCCCCAUCCACCACUCCACUCCUUGUCCUCUGGGUGGGAGCAGCACUUCCACCCCACACCCUGUGGUGGAGGACCCAAUUCUUCCUUUACCUCCAAGAUGGGGCUGCCCACCCCACCCCAUUCCUGCACCAAAGGCUCAGCUCCUCUGGGCACCCCAAAAUGUAAUGGGGUGCUUCUGCGAGCCCCCUGCAUCCAGACCAUGCGAUGCCAGCACCCAGGAGGGGUUGGCCCUGUAGAUGUGGGGGUUUGGGGGAGCACGGCGACCCCAAUGAUGCGAUGGGGAGGUCAGAAAAAUCUUCUGGUUCCCAUCUGGCUUGGAAGAGAUGUGGUUUCUCCCCAGGUUGGAGGUGGGGCAAAUGCCCACCAAACCUCUUUGGAGACCCCCAAGCCACCGGGACACAAAACCCAAACAUUUUGGCCACCCUUGGAGCCAACGAGGCCUCUUCCAGCUCAGCACCAACCAUAGGAAGGGGCCGGGAAGGACAGGGGCAGCCCCGAGGAGCACCUGGAGCAGGGAACCCCCGGCUCACAUGGCUGCUGGGGCACGGAGCUGCCAGUCCUGGCGUGCAGCACGGAUUGGGCCGUCCCCACUGCACCAAAGUCACUCUCAGGACCCAAAACACCAUUCUGGAGGCUCCCGGGGCCACCGAGGAGGUGUUGGUGAUGGCCCAGCACUGAACAUCUCAAUAGAUGGUUUGAAUCGACGUCUCCAAUCUGAGAAUUUGCAAACUGGGGCUUCUUUUUUUUUUUUUGUCACUUUUUUUCCCCUCAAUUUGCCCCCCAAACCCUGCCCUCCCCCCCUCCCACUGGGUGGGAACGGGGCAGCCGCGGUGCCCGGCAGCUCCUGGCAUCUCCGGGGGCUUCGGCAGUUCCCACCCUGGAAUCUCACCCCCCUUCACACACCGACGGCACGAGGACAUCUCUCCUCCCCAACAGACACUGUCGGAUGAGGACCACCAAGGAUAAAAUCAGGGCAGGGAUGCGGGGCUCCGCGGCACACCCUUUCCCUACGGACCGGAGGUCCCAACACUCGGUGGGGACACCGAUGGCGCAGAGCCCGGAGCUGAUUUUAUCCUUGGGCGUCAAAAACGAAAACCCAAAAUGGAAGAGAAACGAAAGGAAAGAGCUACAUCGACCCCAGCCCAACACCCCAACCGAGGGCCCAAAGCAAAGAGCAGCCACGAAACCAAAGCAAAGGUCCAAAGGAAGAAGGAAUGUCGCUCACUCACUGCUUGGUCUGUGUUUCGCGCGAGCGCCGGGCGCGGGGUUGGAGGUGCAAGCAAGCAAACGGGGCUUUCGCUGUUCGUAGUAACAACGUUUUGUACAAGUUCAAGAAGAAGCAUCAUCACAUCUCAGCCGGUCGCUCUCUGCUCUCUGUCCCGCCAUCCCUCCGUCCGUCCGUCCGUCCGUCCGCCCGUGCCGGGCACGAGAGUAAAUCUGUUGGGUUGAGUGGGGUUUGUGGUCUGGUUUCCGUUUCCAUCGGGGUUCGCUGGCUCCAUUUCUCACCCUCUCCGAUGCCCUUUAGAUGAAAUAUUCCUUCUUGUCGUCGCCGCCCGCUUGGCCACCCUCCGCGUUGAUGAUGGCCGUGUCGGCAUCCGGAGCGUCAUCGGAGCCCUUGGCCUCGUGGGUCAGGUAAUGUCCCAGCACGAUGAGGAGGCUGAGCAGGAGGAAGACGAUGACGGCCACCACGCCGCCGAUGACCGCGUGGUACGUGCUGGAGGUCGACGGCACCGGACUGGCAUCUGCCCAGGAGAUGGAGGGGGAGAAAGCAGAGAGAGGGGAGGGGGUGCUGUGGUUUGCCCCGGGUCCCACUCAGUGCAGUGCUGAGGAGGCAGAAGGUGGGGAGGAGCGGAGCUGGGGUGAAGCAGUGUGGGGGGAAAGCAGUGGUUGUGAUGUGGAGAGCCCUGGGACGGGCGAAGCUCUGCCCACGGUGAGCACCAGCGCUGCGCGACGGCUCUGCUGUCACCAUCCCCUGGUGCACAGUGGGGGCACAGAGCCGUGGGAGCACUCAGAGGGGACACGUGGACAAAGAGAGGGUGGAAAAAACAACGGGGGAAGACGAGGAGAACGGAGACAUGGGACAGAUGGACGGACACGGGGGCAGCAGAGCUGCCUGCACCGCAGCGGCGAUGCAAUGGGAUGGAAGCACGGGAAGGAUCGUGUUGUCCCCGUGCCACCAAGCAGGGCUCAGAGCCUGGCUGGGCACGUGGCAAAGCGUCCCUAACCCAGCACGGGGCCAUCGUCCUCCUGACAUCGUCUCCAGCUGAGGAGCAGCGGGUCCGUAAAGAGACAGAAAUGGAGCGUACGGUACCUUGGAUGGGAGCUGGAGUGGAGGAUGAAGCGGUGGCCAUGGAAGCAUGAGAGAUGGGCUGGGAAGGGCCCGGCGGAGGGGCUGGAGUGGAGUGAACGUGUGGGGUGGGGAGCUGGGAAAGAUCUGGGGAGGACGACAAGAACACAGGGACAGCAGUCAGCCCCCGGCAGGGACGGAGCCCACGGGUGGGACCCUGGCAGGGAUGGACCUUCCACCACCCCGUUUCUCUUCCUGCCUCUGGGUCACAUCAGGGACACCAUUCCAGUGUCCUACCUGCCGGCAGCCCCGGUCACCCCACGAGGGACCCAUGGGACCCUCCUGCCUGGGUCACCCAGCGCUGGGUGCCACCUCUGCUGGCUGUGGUGGGUGGGCUGUGGGGCUGCUCUGGCGAUGGUACCUGAGACCCCUGUGUCUCUGGGGAUGGGGAUUUGAAAAUGGGGGAAACCGAUGCCUGGAUGUGGCGCUGGGUGGGCUGAUACAGAGCGGGUGGGGGGCACACGGCGUCCUCGGGUGGGCGCUGGGUGCUGCUGUGAGCCCAGGGGUGGGUGCAGGAACGGGACCCUGCCCCAGGGGUGAUGGGGACAUGGGGUGGCCAAGGGAUGGACUGCUGAGGAUGGACUGCGUGGGGUGGGAUGCACCGCUGCCAUGCGCUCCUGUCAGCCACAGCCAUUUCAGAGGGGAAGGAUGGGGUUGGGGGCGAUCAGAACGAGAGGGGUGGAAAGGGAAAGGCCGGAGCACGAGGGAUGCUGGAAGAUGGAAAAGCCCAAAGCUGGCGGAGAGCAGGGAGAGGACGAGAGGACGACGGAGAAAAGGAGGAGGACCCCCGGAUCCAGGCCUGGAAGAGCAGGGAAAGGGAGAUGCAGCCCAGUGGGGCACGGUGACAGCGAGCAGAGCACGGCCAGGGCAGGAGGAGGCAGCAAUGGCAGCUCAGCCACACCGCUCUGCGCCCAUCCAGCAGCACAGCACGGCGCAGGACGGUCCGGAUGCAGCAGGGGAUGCUCCAACCCAUGGGGCCGUGGUGCCAAUGCAGGCAGUGCCCCACAGCGUCCCCGCCCCACCCCCCGACCCCACCGCCUUACCGCUGACGUCCAGGUUGUACUUGGCGAUGACGCUGCCCAUGGAGCUGGUGGCCGUGCAGAUGUAGGUGCCGCUGUCGCUCUUGUUGAGGAAGGGGAAGAUGAGGAUGCUGUCGGAGCUCAGCUGCAGCGGGGCGUCGCUGCCCUCCUUCUCCCAUAGGAAUUCCUGGGGGCUGCGGGGUGGGAUGGGGUCAGGCACGGCUGGGUCUCCCCCCAACUGCAUCGUGGGGGGUGGAGGAGAGGGGCUGCCCCCACCCGAGGCGGUCAUUGAGGUCCCCCCCCAACCCAAACCCGUUCCAUCUUUCUGUGAUUCCACUGUUUGGUGCUCCGGGGGGGGAACUGCCCUCUGUGGGAUGAGGGGCAUUGCAGAUGUGAGCCCACAUCGCAGCUUAGAGCCGAGACCCCCCCCUUCCCCCGCCCCAGGAAGGGGUAAGCAGCGAUUUGGGGUGUGCGGAUGGGUGGGAAGGGGCAGUGGGGGGCGCUGGGGGUCCUUACACGGGGUUGCCCUGCCCGUCACACUGCAGCUGCAGCUUCUCUCCUUCCCGUGGGUACUGCGGGUGCGGUUCGAUCUUCGCUGUUGGUUUGUCUGGAAGGGGAGCGGUGGGGUGAGAGCGCUGCCCCACAGCCCCCCAGCUGGCACCCCAAACCCUGCCCCAUCCCCUCCCCCUCCUACACCACCACGCCAUGGGUGCGAUGUGAGAGCAUCCACGGGUGAGCAGCUCCCACAUCCCCCAUCCUGCCCCCGAGGUGGGAUGGGGGGAGAUGGGGACAACAGAGGCAGGGGAUGCUGGGGACAGGGAGGUCCCAGGGGGCAGGGAUGGGCAGGGGAGGUGACGCUGUGCAGCAUCCCCACGUGGGACAGCGCAUCGGGCCUACAUCGGUGCACUCACAGGACCACAUGCGGUGACUAUGAGGUCCCCCAAACCUCUCCCACCUCUCUUUGGCCCCAUCCCCUCCCUCAGGUGGCCUCAUCUCCCCCGGUCCCCUCAUGCCACGUACAGUGGACCUGCAGCUUCUGUGUGGUUGACCUCUCCGAGUUCUGCAAGGACUCGUGGUCCACCGUGCAGGUCACCUCGGCGUCGUUGUCCUCCUUGGUGACACGGAACUCCACCCGGCUGCUGACGGUGAAGGUCUUCCCGUUGGAGUCCUCCACCACCUCGGUGCCCUCAGCUGCGGGGACAGGGGGUGGUUGGAGGUGACGCUCACAACGUCCCCACAGAGGGUUGGGGCUGAUGUGCACACUGAGAAGGGGACACCGCACCCACAUCCCAUUGUCGGCAGUAGAAUGGGGUGGUCCAGCCGGGGGCGGUCCAGCGCUGGGCACACCUCAGCCCACAGUGCCCCAUCUGUCCCCGUGCUGCCCCCAGCCCCCCAUCACCCACCCUUCAGCUCCUUGUUGCCCUUCUUCCACCGGAGCUGUGCUGCAGGUUUGCUGCCGGAGGACCGGCACGUCAGCCGGGCGAUCUUCUCCUCGUCGAUGGGCUGCUCGUGGCCAAAGAUUUGGGGUUUCUGGGGGAUUCCUGGGAGAGGAGGAGGAGAGAAAGACAACGACUCAUCAGCUCUGUGUGUGCUGCUGUGUGGAGAUGGAGAGACGUGAGAUGUGGCUGAGGGGGGCACAGUGGUGGUGAUGGGUUGAAGGUUGGACUCGACGACCUCGGGGGUCUUUUCCAACAACCCAUUAGCUCUGCGUGCAGCUGUCUACGGAUGGAUGGAGAGACAGAAGGCACAGCUGAGUGGGGUGGUGGUGGUGGUGGGCUGAAGGUUGGACUCGAUGACCUCGGGGGUCUUUUCCAACCGUAAUGAUUCCACGGGUGGGAAUGGGUUGGUGGUUGGCCUUGAUGGGUCUUCUCCAACCUUAAUGACUCGACAACAGGGAUGCGUUACGGGGUUGGGGUGUGGGAUAGAAGAGAUAAAGGGCCGCAUGGAGGGCAUCCUGCAGAUGGGGCAGACACAGAGAGGAGGUCAGUGGGUGCCGCUGCUUACCCAGCACGGUGACGAGGGCCUUGGCGGUCCGCACGGGCAUGGUGAAGAUGGAGCAGGUGUACUCCCCCUCAUCCGACAGCACCACGUCGCUGAUGCUGAUGGUCAGCUCGUUCGGCGUGGACCUCUCCAGCUGGAUCCUGUUGUCUCGUAGGGCUGGGGGACAAGGGGACAGCGGGGUGAGCGGCAACGCCACUGUGCUCCCCGCAGCUCCCCGCAGGGACCAGCUUCACCCCAACCCACCUCCCCUCUGCCCACCCUGCACACACACCUCGUUUCUCCCCAAAGUAGAGGGUCUGCUGGGCAGGGUUGGACCACUGCAGCGAGGAGUCAUCGGGGUCCUCCACCUGGCACUUCAGCACCACUGUGCCGCCGGCCACCACCGUCUCAUCCGACGUCGUGGGCUGGCUCACUGCACGCAAGAAAGGAGAGCUCAGGGAGGGUGCUUCGGGCUCUCGCCCCCACAUUUGGGCCCUAUAUCCAUCCUACGGGCGCUCAGGCUCUGCACAUCCCUCCCAAGCCACGUUUCCUUUGCACGGACGUCGCUGCCGAGCAGCCCAAGGGCAGAGAGGAGCAGCAGGAGGAUCAGAUAACCCCAUCUGCCCCAAGGACGGCUAUUUUGGGAGAGCCGCCGCGCCGCGCCGUCCCACGGGGAAGGGAGAGGUCGGACACGACCAGAGAGCUGCAACCCACACUCCAUCAUGUGCUGGAUGCGGAGCUCCGUGGAGCGUUGUCUUACAUCUUGGCACUCGUAUUUAGGGCUCGAGACUCAACCUCGAGGCUGGCCCUGCCCUGCGAGCCCGCAGUGCAAUCCUCAUUUCACGGCCCCAUCUCCCCGCACGACGCUUGCUGGCUGGGAGAAGCUCCAUUUAGCAGAAGCAGACUGAAUUUCUCCAUUUUCUGCCCAGAAGGACGCAGGGAAACGUUUUCUUUUGCUGACACUGUAAAUUCCACACAGCUGUCGCAGGAAGGGAUGGAGGGGGGCUGAGCAGGGCAGGGAGACGAGGACACCGAGCUCCCCAGAUCUGUGUUGAACUGAUGGGUCGGUGGUUGGACACGAGGUGGGUCGGUCGUUGGGCUCGGGUUGGCUGUUGGAGACGGGUCGGUCAUUGGAAAUGGGUCGGUGGUUGGACUGGAUGACCUCGUUGGUCUUUUCCAGCCUUAGCGACCCUAUAAGCGGGCAUAGAGGGGGUGGGCUGAUGGUUGGACUUGAUUGUCUUAGUGGUCUUUUCCAACCUUAACGAUUCAAUGAACUCCAGGCUGGAAAGCACAUGAAUCCCACAGCAGCUUUGGAACACACAGGAACUUCAGCAUUCCAAAGACACCAAAUGUGGAUGAAAACCAUUCCCGGGGUUCGAGGCUCCAUCCCGGGGUUGCUGAUGCUCCUAUGUGACGCUGAUGGAACUCUGCUCCUCUCCACUGGCCGGGGUUAUCAGCUGCUGGAGGGCCUCUGCUUCCCACCUCUGUCCUCGUGGACGUUUAUUGGUGCUGUUGCUCAUCCUCCCUCCGUCUGCAGCCCAUUUGGCUCCAGCUCACUUGAGUGCAGUCCUCAGGAGGGUCUCCAGCCCCAGCCCUGGGGAUACAGCCUGGGACAACGGCUCUGCUGCUCCUCUGGGCAGGGAGAUGGCUGUCGGCUUGUUUUAAUUUGUUAAUUAAGGGAUUAGGCCUCUCCAAGCCGCUGUUAUCCAAACUCAAAGCGCUCCGACUCCGAUCGAGGACGGGGCGUAACACCCACACAGCAGACUACAGACCCAACCUUUUAAUUAACGCAAUUACCGUCACCUGCCACAGUACCGACCUCGUUAAGGUAUUAACCUGGGGAGGGGUUCAGCAGCACCAGGAGGGCACGGAGUCACCGCGACAGCACCGCGGUCACCGCGACACUUCGCCCCCGGGGAGCACCGGGAGACCCCACUGCUCCUCCCCUCCACCCACCCCAACCUCAGAACCCCGCCCUGAGCGUG
rnacentral:lncRNA from 1 species